rnacentral:rRNA from 1 species
GACGAACGCUGGCGGCGUACCUAAUACAUGCAAGUCGAACGCUUCUUUCCUCCCGAGUGCUUGCACUCAAUUGGAAAGAGGAGUGGCGGACGGGUGAGUAACACGUGGGUAACCUACCCAUCAGAGGGGGAUAACACUUGGAAACAGGUGCUAAUACCGCAUAACAGUUUAUGCCGCAUGGCAUAAGAGUGAAAGGCGCUUUCGGGUGUCGCUGAUGGAUGGACCCGCGGUGCAUUAGCUAGUUGGUGAGGUAACGGCUCACCAAGGCCACGAUGCAUAGCCGACCUGAGAGGGUGAUCGGCCACACUGGGACUGAGACACGGCCCAGACUCCUACGGGAGGCAGCAGUAGGGAAUCUUCGGCAAUGGACGAAAGUCUGACCGAGCAACGCCGCGUGAGUGAAGAAGGUUUUCGGAUCGUAAAACUCUGUUGUUAGAGAAGAACAAGGACGUUAGUAACUGAACGUCCCCUGACGGUAUCUAACCAGAAAGCCACGGCUAACUACGUG